GGAAUAAAAGUCGUAACAAGGUUUCCGUAGGUGAACCUGCGGAAGGAUCAUUAUUGUAUAACCGAGGUACGAGGGCUGUCGCUGACCCGAAAGGUCGUGCACGCCCGAGUGCCCUCACACACAUCCAUCUCACCCCUAUGUGCACCACCGCGUGGGUCCCCCUGUGGCUUGUUCGGAGGGGGGCUUACGUUUUCACACAAACUUUGUAUGCAGUGUAGAAUGUAUUUUUUGUUUUUGCGAUCACGCAAUCAAUACAACUUUCAACAACGGAUCUCUUGGCUCUC
rnacentral:misc_RNA from 1 species